UUCUUAUCAAGAGUAGGUGGAGGGACUAGCCCAAUGAAACCCGGCAACCGGCUAUUAAGUAUAGUACGGUGCUAAUUCUUGCGGAAGCGUAGCUUCUGACAGAUGAGAA
rnacentral:ncRNA from 1 species